GCCUCUUGAUUAAACCAUAAGAGGUCCAGCCUGCCCAGUGACAUUGUUCAACGGCCGCGGUAUCCUAACCGUGCGAAGGUAGCGUAAUCACUUGUCCUUUAAAUGAAGACUAGUAUGAAUGGCCCCACGAAAGCUAUACUGUCUCCUUUUUCUAAUCAGUUAAACUAAUCUCCCCGUGAAGAAGCGGGGAUAAACAUAUAAGACGAGAAGACCCUAUGGAGCUUCAAACAACUGAAACACUUGUAUAUCCUCCCCCACCUGCCAACAUUUAACCUCACAUUUUGUUUCUAGUUUUAGGUUGGGGUGACCACGGAGAAAAAACUAACCUCCACGACGAAAGAGACAUCUCUAAACAAAAAGCUACAUCUUUAUGUAUUAACACAUUAACCUUUAUUGACCCAAUAAAUUGAUCAACGAACCAAG
rnacentral:rRNA from 1 species